rnacentral:rRNA from 1 species
AUUGAACGCUGGCGGCAUGCUUUACACAUGCAAGUCGAACGGUAACAGGCCGCAAGGUGCUGACGAGUGGCGAACGGGUGAGUAAUGCAUCGGAACGUGCCCAGUCGUGGGGGAUAACGCAGCGAAAGCUGUGCUAAUACCGCAUACGAUCUAUGGAUGAAAGCGGGGGACCGUAAGGCCUCGCGCGAUUGGAGCGGCCGAUGUCAGAUUAGGUAGUUGGUGGGGUAAAGGCUCACCAAGCCAACGAUCUGUAGCUGGUCUGAGAGGACGACCGGCCACACUGGGACUGGGACACGGCCCAGACUCCUACGGGAGGCAGCAGUGGGGAAUUUUGGACAAUGGGCGCAAGCCUGAUCCAGCAAUGCCGCGUGCAGGAAGAAGGCCUUCGGGUUGUAAACUGCUUUUGUACGGAACGAAACGGUCUGGGUUAAUACCCUGGGCUAAUGACGGUACCGUAAGAAUAAGCACCGGCUAACUACGUGCCAGCAGCCGCCGUAAUAC